GAUGAAGAACGCAGCGAAAUGCGAUACGUAAUGUGAAUUGCAGAUUUCAGUGAAUCAUCGAAUCUUUGAACGCACAUUGCCCCCGCUAGUAUUCUGGCGGGCAUGCCUGUUCGAGCGUCAUUUCAACCAUCAAGCCCUAGGCUUGCGUUGGAGCCCUGCGGCUGCCGCAGGCUCCCAAAUCCAGUGGCGGGCUCGUCGUCGUACCGAGUGCAGUAAACAUCCUCGCUCAGGGAACGUGACGGGUUCUUGCCGUGAAACCCCCCACAUAUCAAGGUUGACCUCGGAUCAGGUAGGAAUACCCGCUGAACUUAAGCAUAUCAUAAGCGGAGGA
rnacentral:misc_RNA from 1 species